rnacentral:lncRNA from 1 species
CCGCAAUAUUACUAAUCUUCCCUUAUCAACGUAAAUGAACAUCCUCGUCUAAUGGCAAGUUUGAAUACGAUACCAACAAAGGGACAUUCGCUAUUUUCCUGUUCCAAGUACGAUAGGAAAAUAGCACGAUGGUCGCAUCUCUUCGUACAAAAGUACAAUAAGUCUUCAAAUUGAUUACUACUAGUCUGGUAAAAAACAGGAACCUUCUCCCAGGCCACGAGGAGCAUCCCCCCC